rnacentral:rRNA from 1 species
UGGGGAAUAUUGCGCAAUGGGGGCAACCCUGACGCAGCAACGCCGCGUGAGCGAAGAAGGUUUUCGGAUCGUAAAGCUCUGUCUUUGGGGACGAUAAUGACGGUACCCGAGGAGGAAGCCCCGGCUAACUACGUGCCAGCAGCCGCGGUAAUACGUAGGGGGCAAGCGUUGUCCGGAUUCACUGGGCGUAAAGAGCACGUAGGCGGUUAUUUAAGUCAGAUGUGAAAGUUUUCGGCUCAACCGGAAAAGUGCAUUUGAAACUGGACAACUUGAGUAUCGGAGAGGUAAGCGGAAUUCCUAGUGUAGCGGUGAAAUGCGUAGAGAUUAGGAAGAACACCGGUGGCGAAGGCGGCUUACUGGACGAUAACUGACGCUGAGGUGCGAAAGCGUGGGGAGCAAACAGG